UCUCUUGAGCUGUCUCUGCAAGGAGGGGCUGCCUGGAAAGCAGCCAACCUCCGUCAGUAGGGAGACUAACCAUUCACAUUUUAACAUAGGGGAGAGGAAUUCUGACACAUUUCCUACACAAAAAGAAUCAAGUGCAUCUCUGGGCCUUACAUGGGGUCAGCUAAACUCCACUCAGCACAAUUUCGUGUGAGCUAAAGAACUGUAGAGUGCUUCUGGGGUAGAAGUAGUAUCCUUUUAUAUGUUCUUUUUUUUUUUUUUUUCGGUUUGUUUUAAUUUUUUUUUUAUUAGAAGCAAGUCUGAGCCUUGGUUGCAGCUGACCAAAAGUAGCAGGACAGGUGGCGGGAGCCAGAGGAGCAUGGGAACUGGUUUGCAUUGAUGGGAGGGGAGUAUAAUGGUUAGGCCUGGUGGGCCCCUCGGGUUAGAGAAGGGAAGGGAAGGGAGGUGGUCUGCACCCCACAGGAUGAACCAAGGUUUUUGGGAAUUGGCUUUCUCUAUCAAAGAGCACUAGAGACCCCUUGGAAGAUUCCGGGAACACCAGGCUCUGAAUGUACCCAGCUCCUACCCACCCCACAGCUGAGGGAAAGUCAGAUGACCCCAGGCACGGGUCAUCUUUCAUGGAGCUCUUAUUGAUUCCAGGUCCCUGAGAGUAGCCCAGCUCUAGUCAGGGAUCCCCAAGAAGCAACACUGUUCUGUGGGAACAAGGAGAGAGGAUCCUGCCUGGGCUUUGCAGGAGGGUUCUUUUCCACAAGUAGCUAGAGUUUCCUACGGGGACAAAGGUGGGCUGAGCCCACUGUGGUCCAGUCUGCAGCCACUGAAGCUGUCACAACCCACACCUUUCUGCAAUAGAGGAGUCUCCUGCCUGAGGGUGCAAGGCCGGAUCCUGAGGGUGCAACUGCCUGAGAGGUCGCCUCAGCAAUGGACAAGCCACCCACAUCUCCGAGCUUCCAUUCCCUGCCUGGAAGCGAAGGACUGAACUUGGGUUCCCCACAAGCCUGGGGCUCCUCUCUACCUGCUUCACUCAGAUGUGCACAUUCCAGGCAUCUCAAAGGUGGAUUCUGGACUGGAAAGUGCAUCAGGCCAUUCUGGAAAUGGCCAGCACUUAGCCUACAAAAGCACCUUGUCCUUCUGUGUGGACUCCCCUACAUCCUAAAAAACCUUGACUUGUGCCAAACCCUUCCUGGCUGUGGAGGAGGCAGUAUGGAUGCCUGAGCUGAGCUUAGGGGUCACACGGCAUGCCCUUCCUCACUGCUGCAGACUUGGGGCCUCUUGCUGCUGGCUCCAUCUCGUCACGUGUAGGCCACAGAGGAAGAGAUAGCUCUACCUAAGGAGGCAGGGUCUGGGUGAGCUGAACAGGGUGACUCCUGGUCCAAAGGACCCACAGAGAGGAGAUACACUGAUCUCUACACAGCCCUCAUCUGUCCACCCUAGGAUGGGAACCCUGGCUCAUGACCCUGGAAUCUGACACAGGAGGGGUCAGGCUGAAGAUCAACAUGUAUGGUUGCAGAAAAAGGCUGGCGCGAGGCAGCAAGGACAAGGUCACAGGUUCCCUGCCAGCAUCUUAAGGCAGGUGUAGCUGUAGCAAGAUGGGCUGAGCAUGGGUAUUGGGCUCCAGGCCUUGGCUGGACACUAGAUCUGUUUGCUGAAGCCUCUUUUGAAAAGUUCAUUCUCAGCUUUUUUUUUUUUUUUUUUUUUUUUUUUUGUCCCCACUUGUCCUGGAGCCUUGUCCUUAUGCAUUUAUCUUGGGACCAAAACCUCCCUCCCCCAGGCCUGCCUGCUCCAGAGGUUCUUCCAGCUCGCCCUCUGUGCUGGCUGUCCCCAUGGCCUCAGUACCCCUCGUAGGUGUGUUUUGUGUGUGGAGUGAUUUCUGCCAUGCUCCAAUACACCCUGAGCCCAGGUGAGCUGAGGGGGCAACUCCUUUGGAUUUGCUGUGACAGAUGGUCCUUGUGGCCCACAGUGAUGGUGGCUGAGCGUCUUGAGCCAUGCUGUUAAACCCUGUUUUGACUUCAUAAAAAUCCAUAAGGGAAGCUUUCUGUGAAUGCAAAUGUCCCUAUUUGCUGAGGCUAGGGGACAGAAAGAGGCCUGGAGGAAAGGGGGCAAAUUACCUCUCGUUGGGUGUGGUUUUUCCAGCAGUCAGGGCAAAUCUACAGCAGGCUCUCCAGCUCUGAUGUUCCUGGCCAACUCUCCUCUGAUAACUUUUAAACAUUCCCUGAAGGAUGCUCUUCCAUCUCUGGAAAGCAAUUUGGGAGUACAGGAACCAAAAGUCCAAGAUGCCAAAUGGCCACCGAACCAAGAUGUCUGCACUCUGUCUCAUUUCCUAAUUGUGGCUGUCUUAUGAAAGUCUCUGGUCUGGGGAAGGGUGGGGCACUGAGGAGAGGGGCCAGUGGGAGGCAGGUCCAUGCUAAGCUUCCAGCCUUGGGCAGGUAUGAGUGAGGCUCAACACGUAUGCCUCAGCAUACCUAGGGACUUCAGACUUUUUAACCUCAGAAAAUGUCUCAAUGUAUGUGAUUUAUGUCAUACUAACGGGCUGUGGGCAAUAAACAUGAAUUUAAA
rnacentral:lncRNA from 1 species